UUAAGCUACCAAGGGCGCACGGUGGAUGCCUUGGCACAAAAGGCCGAUGAAGGACGCGGUAAGCAGCGAUAUGCCUCGGGGAGUGGCACUCACACAUCGAUCCGAGGGUUUCCGAAUGGGGUAACCCGAUAGAAGGAACACUUCUAUCACUCCUGUCUGAACACAUAGGGCAGGUAGAGGGCAGUCGGGGAACUGAAACAUCUAAGUACCCGGACGAAAAGAAAGUAACAACGAUUGCGUCAGUAGCGGCGAGCGAACGCGCAACAGCCCAAACCAGUCGGUUCAUCCGACUGGGGUUGUAGGGCCAGAAAGAAACCAUGUGGUUUAGUUUAGCCGAACGGCCUGGGAAGGCCGACCAUAGAGGGUGAAAGUCCCGUAGACGAAAGGCUAAACCCGGUUAUCUGGUACCUGAGUACCGCGGGACACGAGGAACCUUGCGGGAAUCUGGGAGGACCAUCUCCUAAGGCUAAAUACCUUUUGUGACCGAUAGUGAAUAGUACCGUGAGGGAAAGGUGAAAAGCACCCCGGGAGGGGAGUGAAACAGUUCCUGAAACCGUGACGCCUACAAGCAGUUGGAGCACGAAGACCCCUGUGGUCCGUGUGACAGCGUGCCUUUUGCAGAAUGAGCCUGCGAGUUAAUGUAUGUGGCGUGCUUAAGUGACUCAGUCACGGAGGCCGAGCGAAAGCGAGUAUGAAGAGUGCGUGGGUUUACCCGUUGUCGCAUGCAUUAGACCCGAAACCGUGUGAUCUACCCAUGUCCAGGUUGAAGCGGCAGUAAAGUGUCGUGGAGGACCGAACCGGUGUACGUUGAAGAGUGCUCGGAUGAGGUGUGGGUAGGGGUGAAAUGCCAAUCGAACACGGAGAUAGCUGGUUCUCCUCGAAAUGCAUUUAGGUGCAGCGUUGUUUGUUUACCGUCGGAGGUAGAGCACUGAAUGGGCGAUGGGCCUUCCCGGGUUACUGACCUCAAUCAAACUCCGAAUGCCGACGGUCCAAAAGCAGCAGUGAGACAGUGGGGGAUAAGCUUCAUUGUCGAAAGGGAAACAGCCCAGACCUACUGCUAAGGUCCCUAAGUGACGGCUAAGUGUAAAAGGAUGUGAAGUCACGUAAACAGCCAGGAUGUUGGCUUAGAAGCAGCCACCAUUUAAAGAGUGCGUAACAGCUUACUGGCCGAAUGUGAUUUUGCGCCGAUAAUGUAAGGGGGCUCAAGCCGUCCACCGAAGCAUAGGGUUAGCGCUACUUGGUAGCGCUAGCGGUAGAGGAGCGUUGUGUGCGGGGUGAAGUCAGAACGUAAGUCCUGUUGGACUGCACACAAGUGAGAAUGCAGGCAUAAGUAGCGCGAAGAUGAGUGAGAAUCUCAUCCACCGGAAGUCUAAGGUUUCCGCCGUACAGUUCGUCUGCGGCGGGUUAGUCGGUCCUAAGGCGAGGCCAAAUGGCGUAGUCGAUGGCUGUCAGGUUUAUAUUCCUGAACCGUGCAUGAAGGUUAAACUGUCAGGGACGCUUUGAGAAGACCCUCCUAGGUUGUUGGUCUGCCGAGUGGAUUCCUUCGGGAUGAAGCGCAGAGGGGUUUCUUGGGGCCGAGAAAAGCUGAACAGGUACAACAUGUCCGACCGUACCGCAAACCGACACAGGUAGACAGGUAGAGGAUACCAAGGUGUUCGAGAGAACUAUCGUUAAGGAACUAGGCAAUCUAGCCCCGUAACUUCGGGAGAAGGGGUGCCCACUGAAAGGUGGGUCGCAGUGAAAUGGCUCGAGCGACUGUUUACCAAAAACACAGGUCUCUGCUAAGCCGAAAGGCGACGUAUAGGGGCUGACGCCUGCCCAAUGCCAGAAUGUUAACAGGAGAUGUCAACCUUCGGGUGAAGCAUUGAAUCGAAGCACUGGUGAAUGGCGGCCGUAACUAUAACGGUCCUAAGGUAGCGAAAUUCCUUGUCGGGUAAGUUCCGACCCGCACGAAUGGCGUAACGACUUGAGCGCUGUCUCAACGAUAGACUCGGCGAAAUUGUAGCAUGCGUGAAGAUGCGCAUUACCCACCGCAGGACGGAAAGACCCCGUGGAGCUUUACUACACCCUAACGUUGCCGCUUUGUACAACUUGUAGAGCGUAGGUGGGAGUGCUUCGGCACGCCAAUGGAACACCACCCUGGUUGUAUGGAGCGGCUAACCUGUACCGUUAUCCGGUUCUGGGACCGCGUUAGGCGGGUAGUUUGACUGGGGCGGUCGCCUCCCAAAAGGUAACGGAGGCGUCCAACGCUUCCCUCAGGCUGGUUGGAAACCAGCUGUUGAGUACAAAGGCAUAAGGGAAGUUUACUGUGAGAGCGACGGCUCGAGCAGUUGCGAAAGCAGGGCUUAGUGACCCUUUGGCUGUGUAUGGAUGCGCCAAAGAUCAUCGGAUAUAAGCUACCCCGGGGAUAACAGGCUUAUCUUGCCCAAGCGCUCACAGCGACGGCAAGGUUUGGCACCUCGAUGUCGGCUCGUCGCAUCCUGGGGCUGGAUUCGGUCCCAAGGGUUAGGCUGUUCGCCUAUUAAAGCGGUACGCGAGCUGGGUUCAGAACGUCGUGAGACAGUUCGGUCCCUAUCCGCGGUGGGCGUAGGAAGUUUGCAAGGAGCUGUCCCUAGUACGAGAGGACCGGGAUGGACAGACCUCUGGUGUACCAGUUGUUCCGCCAGGAGCAGAAGCUGGGUAGCUAUGUCUGGUCGUGAUAAGUGCUGAAAGCAUCUAAGCACGAAGUACACCUUAAGAUAAGACUUCCCAGGGAGUAGUCCCGUAAGACCCGGAGCAGAUAACUCCGCUAGCAGGUCACGUGUGUAAUUGCUGUAAGGCAUUGAGCUUAGUGAUACUGAUCGGUCGAGGGCUUAGAAGG
rnacentral:rRNA from 1 species